rnacentral:rRNA from 1 species
GUAGGGAAUAUUGGACAAUGGGGGGAACCCUGAUCCAGCCAUGUCGCGUGGAGGAAGACUGCCCUCUGGGUUGUAAACUCCUUUUAUAUGGGAAGAACCGUCCUCAUUAAUGAGUGACCUGACGGUACCAUAGGAAUAAGCACCGGCUAACUCCGUGCCAGCAGCCGCGGUAAUACGGAGGGUGCAAGCGUUAUCCGGAUUCACUGGGUUUAAAGGGUGCGUAGGCGGAUAAAUAAGUCAGUGGUGAAAUCAACGGGCUCAACCUGUUAACUGCCAUUGAUACUGUGUAUCUUGAAUAUGAGAGAGGUAGGCGGAAUGUUGCAUGUAGCGGUGAAAUGCUUAGAUAUGCUACGGAACACCGAUUGCGAAGGCAGCUUACUAUUUCGUAAUUGACGCUGAGGCACGAAAGCGUGGGUAGCGAACAGGAUUAGAAACCCUAGUAGUCC